UAAAACAACCAUAAACCUACAGCAGGCUUUGAAAAAUAAAAGUAUCUUCCAGGUUCUACAAAACAGGCACAUGCACGCUGCACCGGAAAAGGCACCGCUGACAAAUCGAACCCACAAGAACCAGCAGAGGAUUCCAAGGUUCUAAGAGGUGAUGGGACCACAAGACGGAAGGACCCUUUCCAGACACCUAUCAGACUUCACAUGAGAAAGAAAGAAACUUCUGUUGAGGCUCUGAUGGAAGACUCAAAAGCAAGUACUUUACUUGGGAGGUGAUCCCAGGAAGCCCACUGAUGAAAUGGGGAAGUGACAGUGGAAGAGAGGAACACCAAUGAACGAGACAAGACUGCAAACCUAGCAGAGCGGAGAGCUUAACAUAUCCUGGUUUUCCUGCUGCACGUGGGGUUGAAAAGCACGCGCAGUGGAUUGAAAAUCACAACUAUCCUGCCAAGCGCAGCAGGCUAGCGUUUCCUGGAAUCUGGUCUUAUUUGGAGCCAUACAAGCUGCUGCUUUCUGAAAGGAGGAAACUGAAAACAACAACAAAAGCAGAAUUUCUCUUUUAUUCCCGACUGGAAGAAAGAAAAUCAGGACCAUGAGCUAUCCACCGCUGAUGUCACGUUUGUCUUUAUACGUGACGAUUCCAUUCACCACACCUCUUCUCCGUUGUGUGGAAGCUCCAUCUUACCUCGUCUGCUUCCACCAAGCCAACUCCAUGCCUUUUAUUCAGGCAAAGGCCUAUGUUUACUCAAUUAUUAGGAAUUAAAGAGGUUUAGAACUGUGAGAACAUUUUUAUUGGGUCAGUUUUUUAUUUUAAUUAAUUUUUUAAGCGUAUUUCUCUUGAGACUUUGUUUUUAAUGUUGUGCCUGUACCCCCGUUUCCCCCCAGGCCUGUUACUUAAAUUGUACAUGAUCCUAUAGCAUGGCGAUUUUUAGUAACACCUCUGCCAGGUUACUGUUUCUUGUUGUAAAUUAGCAUUUCCUUGGUUACUAAAAUCAUUCUUUCUUUUGUUUUCUGGCCACUUGUAUAUCUCUCUUUAUAUCCCUGUUGUUGUGACACGCAUGUCAUAACUUUCACCCAUUUUUCUCUUGGCUUAUUUGUCUUUUUCUAAUGUGUAUGAGGUUUUAAAAAAUAUAUUCUCAACAUGUUAACAUAUCUUAC